CUAGAUAUGAGGUGUGCACAGAAGAGGCAAAACAUUAUUUAGAUAAGCUUCGAAUAGCUAACUUGUGCAUAUGAUGAACUCUCUCCCAGAGAAUUACCAAAAAUAUUCCCCCCACAUUAAAGCAAUUGAAAUAAUAUUUUCUCCAGUUGAAGGAGAUAAAUACAAAGCUUUGAUGAGUAGAAGUAACUUUAUUGAAAAAUUGAAGUCACUACAACCUCACUUGAAAACCUCAUUCAAAUAACAGAGAGUUAAAAAACUAUCUAUUAAAAUUCCUUGUAAAGUUCCUCCAUUUUCUACUUCUUUUAUUUCUACAGACAUCUUCCACCAUAUCCUGCACCUCUAAAUAAUGCUUGCUUUAUAUCUUCAGAACUUAUCAGUCUUCUCUGCUCCAAUUCCUCUGAGCAAGAAGCUUGCAUUGCAAAAUCAUUGAAGCAGCUAAUAACGCACUGUUGAAUCUCAAGGCCCAAGGUUUCUAGAGUAUUUACUGUCGAUAGCAACAGCCCUGGCUUCGCUGCGCAGCAAAUCUCAAUCCGUGUAGCCUCAUUUACUCUUUCUACAUCAAACUGCAAAGUGAACACGGGAAGGAAUUUAAUCAGGAAUAAGGUAUGUUAAAUUCAGCUCUUUGUAUGGUAGUUUAAAUGGGUGCAGAGGGCAUACUUUC
rnacentral:misc_RNA from 1 species